rnacentral:lncRNA from 1 species
UGAUGAUGAUCAGGACCUCGCAUGAUGAGAUCGAUGAUCAGGGACUCAUGAUGAUGAUGAUGAUCAGGACUCAUGAUGAUGAUGAUGAUGAUGAUCAGGACUCGAUGAUGAUGAUGAGGACUCGAUGAUGAUGAUGAUGAUGAUCAGGACUCAUGGUGAUGACGAUAAUGAUGAUCAGUACUCGAUGAUGAUGAUGAUAAGGACUCAUGAUGAUGAUGAUGAUGAUCAGGACUCAUGGUGAUGAUGAUCAGGACUCAUGAUGAUGAUGAUGAUCAGGACUCAUGAUGAUGAUG